rnacentral:lncRNA from 1 species
UGGAAGAGUUUGGAGGGAGAAAAGGGAAGGGAGAAAUGAUAUAAUUAUGUUAUAAUCUCAAAAAAAAUCAUCUACUAAUCCUGUGAAAAGCCUUCAACUUUAAUGUUCAACUUCGACUUUCAAUUAAGAAUGAGAUCCAAUGCUUUGUCAUGGCCUACAGACGCCACAGGAUCUGGUUUGUUAUUUACUCCGUCUCAUGCGUCUACUGCCCCACCUGCCAGACCCAGCCACAGUGGUCUGCUUUUAGUAUCAAGAAUAUGCCAAGCUCUUUCUAGCCUCAGAAUCUGUGGGCAUGGCUGCUAUAUUAGUUACUAGUCUCAUUGCUAUGGUGGUGCUGGCAUUGCUGCUGCUGGUGGUGGUGGAGGUGGUGGUGGUGGUGUGGUGUGUGGUGGUGUGAUGUGUGUGUAUGUGUGUGUGUGUUGAGGGGGCAGUGUUAGAUGUGGAACUGCCCUUCUACCAUGUGUGUUCCUGGGGCUGAAUUUAGAUAGUCAGGCAUGAGAGCAAGUGCUUUACCUGGUGAGUCACCUUGCUGGUACCUAGACUUUCUUUCACUUCCUUUUUACGUGCUCUUUAGCAUGCUUUUCUCACUGGAUUUUCAACUUCCUCAAUGUUAGUUCCAUGCCUACACUGUUUAUCAGUGUUGCCUCAGGACUUGUCAGUGUUCCCUGAGUGACUGAAUGACGUUUGAAGUCAAUCAGUUGAGUACGGCAGGCAAGCUAUAUUCAGUUUCCUUUGUUGUUUUAGGUAACAAAACUUUACAGCAGUUUAAUGGCUGUGAUGUUUCUGACCAUGCUCAGUACAGCUGAACAGGUUUUAUGGAAGACUUAAGUCAACCAAGAAAAAGACAGUUUAAGAAAGUCUGCUAUUUAGGCCUUUAUGCUUGUGAGUAACUCAAGAAUGAUAAUUCUAAUUACUAUAAGCCAGUGGUUCUCAGCAGAGGGCAACUGUGCUCAGCCCCUAAACACCUGGCAAUGGCUGGAGAUAUUCUCAGUUGUCAAAUUGGAAAGGAAAAAAGCAGAUUGUGCUCCUGGCCUCUAGUGCUUAGAUGCCAAGGAUGUUCGGCAUUAUAUCCCCAGAAAUACCAAUCGUACUAGCC